rnacentral:rRNA from 1 species
AAAAGACGAACAGCUCAGUAACUCUUAUUUUAUUUGAUGUAUUAGGACUAUAACUAUGUUAAAUUAUAGAUAACAAUAAUACAAUAAGAAUAAGAUCUAUCAGUUAGUUGUUAAGGUAAUGGCUUAACAAGACUAUGACGGAUAACGGUAUUACUUUGUAAUAUUCCGGAGAAGGAGCCUGAGAGAUUGCUACUAAGUCUAAGGAUUGCAGCAGGGGCGAAACUUGACCUAUGAUAUGAUAUUGAGGCAGUUAUGAGUAGUAUUUUAUAAUUAUUGUAGUAUUGUAAGUAUAUGCUACAAGAUAAAUCGGAGGGCAAAUCGAG